AGCGAACGCUGGCGGCAGGCCUAACACAUGCAAGUCGAACGAACUCUUCGGAGUUAGUGGCGGACGGGUGAGUAACACGUGGGAACGUGCCUUUUGGUUCGGAAUAACUCAGGGAAACUUGUGCUAAUACCGAAUGUGCCCUUCGGGGGAAAGAUUUAUCGCCAUUAGAGCGGCCCGCGUCUGAUUAGCUAGUUGGUGGGGUAACGGCUCACCAAGGCGACGAUCAGUAGCUGGUCUGAGAGGAUGACCAGCCACACUGGGACUGAGACACGGCCCAGACUCCUGCGGGAGGCAGCAGUGGGGAAUCUUGCGCAAUGGGCGAAAGCCUGACGCAGCCAUGCCGCGUGAAUGAUGAAGGUCUUAGGAUUGUAAAAUUCUUUCACCGGGGACGAUAAUGACGGUACCCGGAGAAGAAGCCCCGGCUAACUUCGUG
rnacentral:rRNA from 1 species